rnacentral:rRNA from 1 species
CCUACGGGAGGCAGCAGUGAGGAAUAUUGGUCAAUGGGCGCGAGCCUGAACCAGCCAAGUAGCGUGCAGGAUGACGGCCCUAUGGGUUGUAAACUGCUUUUAUACAGGGAUAAAGUGGGGAACGUGUUCCCUUUUGCAGGUACUGUAUGAAUAAGGACCGGCUAAUUCCGUGCCAGCAGCCGCGAUAAU